rnacentral:rRNA from 1 species
GACGCCGCGUGUAGGAAGAAGCUCUAACGAGUGUAAACUACUGUGAUAAGGAAAGAUAAACGUCCUAUUCGGAGGUUUGACGGUACCUUAUCUAGAAAGGGGCCGCUAACUGCGUGCCAGAAGCGUCUGGUAAUACGUGGGCCCCAAACAUUAUCCGGUUUUACUGGGUGUAAAAAGUAGUGUAGGUGUUUAGUUAAGUUUUGCCUUAAAUACUAUAGCUUAACUAUAGAAGAAGGUAAAAUACUAACUAGAUAGAGUUAUUUUUAGGGAGAUUGGAACUCAAGGAGGAGUAGUAAAAUGCGUUGAUACCUUGGGGAACACCAGUGGCGAAAGCGAAUCUCUGGAAGAUAACUGACACUGAGACACGAAAGCUAGGGUAGCGAAGCAGAUUAGAGACCUGCGUAGUCCUAGCCUUAAACGCAUGCUUGCUGGCCGCACCUAUUUUACCUUCGGGUAAGAUAGAUGUAACGAAGGUAACCCGUUAAGCAAGCUACCUGGGGAUGUACGACCUGCAAUGGUUACAUACUCUAAGGAAUUGGCGGGGAGGCACACAACCAGUGGACAUUGUGGUUCAAUUCUGAUACGUAACCGAAGAACCUCACCAGGGUUUGACAUGGAGAGAGUUCUAUCUUACAGAAUAUGUAUAGAAUAUUCGCAAGAAGGCUUUCACAGGUGCUGCAUGGCUGUCGUCAGCUCGUUCCGUGAGGAGUACCCUUAAGUGGGACAACGAGCGCAACCCCUAUCUUGUGUUAAAUCUGUCACAAGAUACUGCCCCGCCUUUGGCGGGGAGGAAGGAGGGGCAGACGUCAAGUCAGCAUGGUCCUUAUACCCUGGGCUACACACAUGUUACAAUGGGAUGAGCAGUGGGUCUUGCCAAACGGCAACGUUGAGCAAAUCCCUUAAACCAUCCCUCAGUGGGGAUUGAGGUCUGCAACUCGACCUCAUGAACACGGAAUUGGUAGUAAUCGCGGGUCAGUCAUACCGCGGUGAAUACGUUCUUGCCUCUUGCACACACCGCCCGUCAAGCCAACAAAGUCGGUGAUAUUUGAACCCUCCGAUUCGGAAGGGAAAAUAU